rnacentral:rRNA from 1 species
GACGAACGCUGGCGGCGUGCUUAACACAUGCAAGUCGAGCGGAGCGGCGAAGGGGGGAGUAACGCGUGAGUACUGGCCCCCCUCCCGGGGAUAACAGUUGGAAACGGUUGCUAAUACCGGAUAGUGGGGGAUGCCUGGGGUCCUAUCAGCUUGUUGGUGGGGUAGUGGCCUACCAGGGCGACGACGGGUAGCCGGCCUGGGAGGGCGACCGGCCACAUUGGGCUGAGAUACGGCCCAAACUCCUACGGGAGGCAGCAGUGGGGAAUAUUGCACAAUGGGGGAAACCCUGAUGCAGCAACGCGCGUGCGGGAUGACGGCCUUCGGGUUGUAAACCGCUUUCAGCCAUGACGCGGUAGUGGCAGAAGAAGCACCGGCUAACUACGUGCCAGCAGCCGCGGUAAUUC